UUCCGGUAACGAAUUAAAAUCAAAAUUAUUGCUUGUAGAUUGACAAAACUUGUCUCAACGAUUGAUUGAUUGUAUCUUGCUUAACGUCUCACUCGAGAAUUUUUCACUCAUAUGGAGACGUCACCAACACCGAUGAAUGGCUUCAAAUUUAGGCCUAUGCUCGGCGCUUACGGCCAUUGAGCAGUGAGGGUUCUUUAGCGUGCCACACCUACUUUGACACGGGUCAUCCGUUUUUAAGGUCAUCUCCGAGGACCCAUGACAUUCACAUCUGUUGCCGAGCGUUUGGCGAUGGAACUGUCACUACCUGUUUUAACGACUUAGGUGUGUCGCGGCCGGGAUUCGAACCCCGGGCCUUCCGCAUACGGGGUGAACGGUCCGUGGUUCGAAUCCCGGCCGCGACAUUGGCCAUAUGUUAUAUUGUUGACAGUAAGUAAUGGUUGAUAAAUUGCAGAAAAUGUCGGGUUGCAUUUACUUACAAUAAAAAUUGUGACCAAAAUGUGUAACAAAAUUGGUAAAUUUUACUUUUGUAAACGUUCUAUUCUUCUACAUCAACACCAUAGAAUACAUCCGCGCAUUUUUCUUGAAUUUUAAUACUUACGGUCCAACGCAAACUAGUUGCCGUGCCCUAAAAGAACUCCAAUCACAAUUAUUUUAAGAAAAUAAACUUACCAGUCCAAAACCACUUUCAACCGAAUGUCCGAAUUCUACCGAAUAGCCGAUAACGCGUUUACCCGUGUGGAAAGGUUGUUAUUGCUUUUCUUGACAUUUAAAAUGUUACAUAUCACAGUCAUUGAUACAAUUUAAAAGAUAUACGCCUUUGCUGAAAACAUAAAUAAAAGACGUCAUGCUUUGUUAGAACACUUCUGCGGUGACAGACAUCUGUCUCGCAGAAACGCAUGCAACUUCUCAAAUCUUAUUGAACAUGUAAUGGGCCGGCUCGUGUCGUCCCAUAAUAAACACAUAAUGCUAUAUGCCACCCCCUAUUUUAUUUACAGAAUACCGUUAACUUGUAUGGAUAUCCAGCAUCAAAAUUGUAGCAUAUGUAUUUUUAAUCAUGAUACAUAUGUAUAUAUAACUGCAAUUUGUUUUUCUACCUACAAUGCAUUAUUUGGCUACUUGUAUUCGGCGCCGGACGCGCCCGCGCGGCAAUCGUGAUCAUUGUUUUCCGGUAGAAUUUGCCAUGGUAAUAAACACUCACAUGAGCUUAAUUUUCUCUACUUUUUAGCUUUAUCGCUUGUUUUUUUUUGUUUUUGUUUUUUGUUUUUUUUUUGUUUUUUGGUUUACGGAAAUAGCUUACGCAAAUAUCGACCCCAAUCAAAGUUGUUUUUUUUCAAAGACAACAAACUAAUGAUACUUAGUGUCUUUUAGCUAUCAAUAUAUAUUUUGCCCUAAAGUGUUUAUAUCUAUAUGAGAAUUCACAAUUUUAGGAGCUAGGAUACAACCCACAGAAUUUCCCACUUUGAUGACAAAUUAUUUACUAAAUGAAUGAAUUAUCAAUAAAUAAGUGUCCCUUCCCAGUGUCUAAAUAUUAAUCAGCCGUCAGACUUUAUCAAUUGUUAUGUACAUAUUUCUUUUCUUUUUUCAAUAUUUUUUUUUGCCUGGGCUCAUAUGAUGUGAAAGCCCCCCCCCCCCCCACCCCCACCCCCCCAACCCAACCCUAACCCGUUUAUCAACACUCCAAAUGCCAUGCGAAACUGCGCAUAUAAGACCCCCUUAUCUUUUUCUGAUCCAGGAUCAACACAUUUAUUUUCUUUUUAUACUUAUGUUUUGUAAGUAUACAUUAAAGAUUAUCGAAAUCUCUUCUACGUUCAAUUAAAAUUCUCGUUGUCAUUGAUGAUAUUUCUUCUUGAUUUAUUAAAUUUUUAGAUAAUAUUUGAUGUAUAUUUACAAUCCAUAAGUUAGAAAGGUGUGUAGAAGGUUCGGGGGUGGGGGGGGGGGUUGCAUGAUCCAUCAUACUUCAAGUCCCUGUCUAUAUAUUAAAACUACCCCUAUUAUGACCUCACCACGUGCGACUUCUGGUAAAAUAUCGAACCGAAAUAACGUAUGAUAAAAAAAUAAGCGAUACAUUUCUAUAAAAAUAAUUGUAACGCGCGGACGCAUUAUUUUUGGUCUAAUUGAUUUUCUCGGAAUAGCAGCCUUUUGACGUAAAAUUUCCAAUUGAUAAAGUGCCGAAACCUGUACCAAAAAUGUCAACGAAGCCCUGGGCCCUACAUGUAUGUAUGGCUAUGGCAUUUUUAAAAUUGUUCAGUAUACAUCAGUGGCGGAAUUAGGGGAGGGGAGCGCAGCCCUGAAAUUUCAAAUCAAAGUCAAAUCGUGGUGUGUUGUUUAAAAAAAAUGUACUAAACGAUACCAGAAGCAAUAUUUUUUUUUCCACUCCCGGAGAAAUAAAUCACAAAAUCUCUUGAUUUCUUGAAUUACUUUAUUGGGAGAACUUAUUUUUUUCCAAAAACCCUUAAUGUUUGCGUCAUUUUAUUAAUUUCACAUUAUAAAAAAAUGAUAGAAAAUGUUACAAAUGACCAAAUAGGGACACGUUUCAAGCUCUAUAAAAUCUGUUGAAUCCAGGAGCUUUCGGGGGCUUCACUCUGGAGCCACUGGAGCCUUUAAGGCUGCGCCCAGACCCCUUGCUUCAUAAAGUGACAACCCCUGUAACAGCAAUUCCUGGAUCCUCCCUAGUACAUGUAUAUUUAUCUAUUUAUAUUUAUAUCUCUAUCUUUCUGUCAGUCUACAUACAAGUAUCAGUAGGUAGAUUUAAACUGAUAAGUAAUGUCUUGAGUUCCAGCCCCGCUCGUGCUAUGACUUCGUCAAACCUAAAAGGUAAACAUAGUAAUAGUGCUCCAUCAUAAACUGCUCAGCAUUUAGAAGCGAGAGUAAGACCUUUAAGGAGGUAUGCUACACCAGAGAAAUUUGAUGUAGAUGAAAAGUGGAAAAUAUGUACAACAAUAUUUUGAAGUUGAAAUUUUUCAAAUUUACUUAAUUUUGUCAAAAAAUACAGUUUUAGUAGAAGGUAAUCUGAAAAAAUAAAAUAAAACCUCUGCUGGACUUGAACCUGUGACCUACAGUUUAGUAGUCGGUAUGCUAACCUACUGAGCUAAUCGGCUAGGUAUCUUAAUUGAAAAGCAAAAGUCAAAUAUUGCUGAUAUUGAUUUUUUCCUUCAUGUUUUAACCCUUUCUCUACCGUAUCGGUCAAUAUGACCGAUAGCGCGUAAAAACAGGGCUACGCAAAAGGAGUGUCUAUAAAUUUUUGAAACUACGGACGUAAUAUAUAUGUUUUAUAUAUCAUAUUUUUGGAAAUUUUCUAUAUUUUUUAACUAUGCAAAAAUCAAUUGAAUAAAUAAAGCCAUUAAAUUAAAAAAAGCAUUUAAAAUGAAGGAUGACUUCGUCUAAAUAUGACGCAACGCUUUGUCGCAAGGCCAUUUCCCCCCUCGCUAUGAUUUUUUUUUUAUUUUCCCUAUGACUGCAAUAUUUUUUAUAUAUUUGAGAAGCAUAUAUUCCCUGCUUUCAGUACAUAUAAAAAUUAUUUUUAAUGGCUGGCAAAGUUAUAAGAAAAUAGCAAUUUUUUGCACAUAUACGUUGUUUUACGAUUUUAUUUCGCAAUGUUUAAACAGAUCGGCGUUUUAUCUAUAUUUAUAUAUGGAAAUAGGGAAAAGUAAAUACAUCCUGUAGAAGUAGAGGAAAUGUUCUUUUUGAUGGACCCUUAUUCAUAUUAUAAUUCUCGGUAGUUUUUAUAUUACGAUAAAAUGAAAUUGGGACAUGCUGCGCGGUUUUCUUAAAAAUUAGCGACAAAUCGACGUCGCUAAAAGCAAUCGACGCGCGUCGCACAAUAAAGUGGUGAAAACUAUUUGUAUUGUCCUCUUUUAGUAAAUUCAGUACCUGUUGAUACACUAAAACAACAUACAUACAUGUAUGAAAUAAUCAGCCAGGUAUCUCUGCUUUUUUUUUAAAGCAUAAAACCAAUAUUGGUUUAUAACAGUUACACAACCUACAUGUAACUUCAUAAAACACCUAUUGAGAAUAUUACAUCGGCAGAUUGAAUUUAAAAAAAGAUAAAUAAAGUACUUCGAAUUCAGAUAUAAACGUUAUAUUUGUUCGGAAUAGUAAUAAUUUUUUUCUCUGCCAAAGAAAGAAAACAAAAAAGAAGUUCGCCUAUAUAUAGCCUGUAUACUUUUAUUUUUCCGUGAUCCGGAUCGCGGGCCUCGCGGGCUUUUCUGAAAGUGUGCACGGAGAACACACGUGUUUCCGUUUCAACGAAAACAACACAGCUUCACCGUGACUGCCACAACCAACGCUUGUAUUUUACAUCUUUAAAACGACCUGAUGUCAGAAGAAGAUGCCCUGGAUCGCCUGUUGCAGGAUGACCCAAACGAUCAUGCAUUCAGUAUAAAUACGUACAUGUAAGUUGAUGUAGCCACAUAGGCCGACUAAAAAGAAAACAAAAAUGUGGUUUUGUCAUGUUAUGAAAAAUUCACGAUUAAUUAACCACAAUUUGAUGCCAUGGUUUGUCGUUUCAUGAAAGCAAAUAUUUAUAUUUUAUAUCUAAAACAAGUGAAUAACACCCUGUCCGGGUCCGGCAGUUUGAUUAACACCCCUCCCCCCCUUUUCCCCAGAAUUAUCUCCUUACGUGACGCGCGAGUGUAAGAAGGGGGUGUAUUUAGUGUAUAAUGGGAUGGGGUGGUUUUAAUCAGACUGGGCAUUCACGACCGCUGGUGAGAAGGCUAUUUUCCAAGUUUUUUCCAUGUUUAUAAAAGAAAUUAUCUUUCUAUGAAAAGAAAACACAAUCUGUUAGGAAAACACACUUAUGAUAGAAUUUAUUAUCAUAAUUUGAAUUAUUUUCUUUAUUCUGUAACAGAAAUAAAAACAAAAUGUGUGUUUGGGCCAAAAUGGGGGUGGGUUAACAUCAAUCAAAGUCUGAUUAUGACAGGCUAAUGAAAAAUCAUAUUGAUUUCUCUUUUAUCCAAAUGCAUGUAUUUUAUAUACACUUAGUAGCUUAUGACCAUAAAUUAAAUGUGAUCCAUACAUGCUGGUACUUGUAUGCUAUGAGCUGAUGGGCAUGUCUUCCCUUCUUGCCCACAGGGGCUCGGUUAUCAGAUAUUGAAGUUUUGUAUUAUUUGUUCCUGAAUAAUAAAUUGAAGUUUUGCAUGAUUUGUGUCCGAAUAAUAAAUUAUAUAAAUGCAAGGUGAAGAUAACGAACAGUGAUCAAUCUCAUAACUCCUACAAGCAAUACAAAAUAGAUAGUUGGGCAAACACGGACCCCUGGACACACCAGAGGUGGGAUCAGGUGCCUAGGAGGAGUAAGCAUCCCCUGUUGACCGGUCACACCCGCCGUGAGCCCCAUAUCAUGAUCAGGUAAACGGAGUUAUCCGCAGUCAAAUCAGUGUGCCAAGUACUUUAAUGUACACAUGAUACACCUUUUUGAAAACCUCUAAAAAAGCGGAUUUUGGUGGUGGAUUUUAUUUAUAUAAUUUAUUAUUCGGACACAAAUCAUGCAAAACUUCAAUUUAUUAUUCGGGAACAAAUAAUACAAAACUUCAAUAUCUGACAACCGAGCCCCUGUGUUCUUGCCGGUCUCCUCCGUGGCCGAGUGGUUAGAGCAUUGCGCUCAAAAUCACACGGCCUCUCAUCUCUGUCGGCGCGAGUUCGAAUCCCAUUCGCGCCGGUAAGUGAGAAAGUUUUCCCAGUUUACUUUCGAAAGAUCGGUGGUCUCUCCCCAGGUAUCUGGGUUCUCUCUUCCACCAAUAAAAAAAACUGGGUGCCACCAGAUAACUGAAAAAUUGUUGAGUUUGGCAGAAAACAUCAAUCAAUCAAUCCCCUUCUUGCCUAGAUUUUCUCUAAUUUCGACUAAAUCCACAGCCCAUCAGAGUACCAUACAAGGGGAUUUAGACACUGGGUACCAUUAAGAAGCAAUUCAAUUCAACUUUUAUAUCUGGGGUCAUUCACUUUCCCUCAGAGUUUCAGUAUUUUCGCUGGACCCUGUAGGUUUUAACCUGAAUUUCUUCAGUAUUUGCCCUCGUGUAUGAUAUAUGCUAGGCAUAAUGCAGAUACCUACAUGAUACAUUUUUUUUUCAUUACCCACUCUGCUACUCUCGCAAUGUAUAAUAAAAUAUUCGAUUCAUUUCUAACACAUGUAUGCAAUCCCUUACCAUAUCUUUAAAUAAAUUUGAGUAAAUAAAUUUAAGUGCGAAACUGUUCCAUGCUACCGUGAAACUUAGAUUUUGCUUUUUAAACAUAAACCAACAAUUCUUAAUUGUGAUUUCUUUUCUUCUUUAAAAAGGGUAUUGACAUCGCAAUAUUUAGUGGGAAGUUCCCAGGUAUCAUCCGCUAGCGACAGUCUACUGACAAAUCCAGACAUGCAUUGGAAGGAUGCUGAUGUGGAGGACACAGGAACACCUGAUCCCAGAACUGUGGCAUUUCAUUCGGGGUGACAACCUGCCUUUCAGUUGGUAUGACUCUUUGAGGUUGAAUAUAGGGUUAAAUCAGUGUAAAUUUGAUUAACAUUCAAAUAAAUCCAGAUAAUACAUUCACAAUUGGAAUCAUGGCAUUAUGGUACACUGAUAUGUGUGUACCAUUUUACUGUUCCUUUUUUGGUGGGUUUUUUUUUUUUUUUUUUUUUGCUGCAUAACUAGGGAUCGUAUACAUACAAAAUGAGACAAAACAAUUUCUAAUUAGUUUCUAAUUAUAAGGUAUGACACGUUUUAAGGUAUGGUGGCCAAUACUGAUUUUAUUUGCAAUUUUCUUUCAGAUAUGGGACCCUAUUAUUCGGAGAACUGCAGAUUUUAUGAAGCUGUCUUUGACAGAAGAUUUGGUUUUCUCCAUCUGUGUUGCCACCAACCAUUAUGCUGAGAUGGUCAUAUCUAGGGGGAAGGGUUGCCAUAUACUUCCCAAGGAAGUUUUCAGCCUCUCACUGAAGAGGAACUGUACAGAUUUUUGUGCAUUAUCUUAUACACGCCUGCUGUGAAGUUCCAGUCGAUAGACAGAUAUUGGUCAACGCAUGCCCCUGUCGGAACAACUCGUUAUCAAGAAUUAUGUCUAGAAAUAGGUUUCAAGAGGUUGAAUAUAAGAACAUUUUUGUUAAAUAUGAUGCAAGUACAUUUAAAUCUAGUGAUUGAAAGUAAGUACUUGAACAUUCGCUUAUGUUGAACUUGGAGAGGAAAAAUGGUUAGUACUUUUUGAUAACAUUUGAUAAGGUGUUGUUGCUUAGCAACCAAAUAUAACUGAAUAAAAAAUAGAUUAUUUUAGAUUAACAAUAAUUGAAAGAUCUUUGUUUUAAUGUUGCAAUACUUAUUCUAUUUAAUGGAACAUAAUGGCAAAACGUCAUAUUAUUAGAAAAUGAUGGACAAGUAUAUAAAGUACGAAGUUUCCAUUUGAUGAUCUUUGACCUUAAUUCUCUUCAUUACAUUUUUUGUUAAAAACCUUUUAAAAUGAUUAAGAUCUAUUUAAAGAUUAUAUUUUUAAAAUAAUGUGACAUUUACUAAUCAUCAUGGAUUGUAAUUACGUUUAAAUUGUGUCGAAUGGAUGCAGAAAGGCAAAUUAUGGUCAAAAUUGUACUAUGAGUGUUGUUACUUAGCAACCAAAAAUAUUUGUUUGUCAAUAAAAUUGAUUAGUUUGA